GGAUGCUUCUGUAAUUGUCUUGAUAUAAGUGUGUGGAGGAAGUGUGCUGCCAUCGUUAGGCUUAGCAAGAUUUUUUGAAACUUUUAUCAUUGUUAUAUUUCUCUCACAAGGGACUGUUUUCGUGCUGAUAUUCUCAGGAACUAUUUUGUUAUAUCUGAAAUUUGGACAGGAAAUAGUUCAUUUCAUAAGUUUUACCAAGCUUAACUGGGAGACCUGAUUUUGAGUUUCUGUGAAAUGGUUGAUUCAUGUUGAAAGGAAACAAGAGAGGGAAUCAAGGCGGUGUGAACUCCAAGGGGUUAGUCUAACGGUUAAGAAAGUUUGUUCAUUUCAUUGAUUUUUUCCCUUCGAACCUUAGGAUCAAUUACCACAUUUGUGACUUAUCUUGGAAUAUUGGGUUUAUAGGGUAUUCAAUAGACUUUAAGGAUUAGUCGAA